AAUGAGUCCUACAAAGUAGUGCUUUUGACAGCUAUUUUUUAAUUGGCCAAAAAAGAAAUCCUAACAAAUCACCCUGGCCAACUUGACAGCUUGUUUGCUAUGGGAUAUUCUGUCUUAUCUUUGGAAGCCCCACUGUAGCCAGUCUAAAAGAACAACACAGCCUUAAGAAAAUGGGGCAAAGACUCACUUAGUGAUUAGAGGUAAUAAAACAGAGAUGGCCCCAGUAGUCCACAAUCUUGGAAGUGACCAGGGUGCCUUCCUGUGAGUUUCUUUGACUGUACAAUGGUGAUCCAUCCAUAUCGCCCCUGUGUUUCCCAAAGCUAUAGUAAGCAAUAUGGCAGAAUCUAAUAAAAAGUAUCAAAGGAUUUAUGCGAAGUAAUGCAUAUGUUAAUUAGCUUGACUUUCCCAUUCCACAAGGUAGACAUAUUUGAAAACAUCAUGUUAUCUGUCAAUUUUUUAAAUUAAAUAAUUUUUUAAGUAUUAAAGAAUUUCACAGCCCUUCCAACAGCCCUUGAUCUAGAUCAGUGGUCUCCCAAACAGAAUGUCCAGCGCUGAUCCAUUGGAGUGCUGGAGAAAAUGCUAAAACUUCCACUUACAUUUAGUUUUAUCAAAAAUUAAGACGUUUAACUUGACUAAUAUUAAUAGAUGCAUUAAAUUGGCGGUCUCAUUUAGUCUGCAAGUCCCAAACAUCAUCAUGGGACCCAUGUAGUGUUCCCAGGAUCUUAAGAGAAGAGUGGAGAUUAUUUGAUCAAGAAUGUAAAUGGGCUGAGCACAGUGGCUCACACCUGUGAUUCUAGAGCUUUGGGAGGACUAGACAGGUGGAUCGCUUGAGCCCAGGAGUUCAAGACCUGGGCAACGUGGCAAAACACCAUCUCUACAAAAACACAGAAAUUAGCUGGGUGUGGUGGCACGUGCCUGUAGUCCCAGCUCCUAGAGAGGCUGAAGUGGGAGGCUCACUUGAGCUUGGGAAGUGGAGGUUGCAGUAAGCCAAGAUUGUUCCACUGCACUCCCGCCUGAGUGACAGAGCAAGACCCUGUCUCAAAAAAAAAAAAAAAAAAAAAAAAGAAUAAUGAUGGCAGCCCCUCACUUAGCCAUGAGCUAUCAGGCUAUCAGGUUAUUGGACAAUGUUGCACUGGACAUGCUCCCAGUUAAAUGCACUUACAGGUAUUGUUAUCUAGAUUAAACUAAUCCUCACAAAAUGAACAAGUGGCUUAAAACAGUUUCUUCAAGGAAUUGCCUAUGUCAUCACUGCAGAAAACUCUGACCCAGAAAAUGUCCAAACAACCUGAGUAGUCCAUUGAAGAUAAUAAUAAUGCAAGCACAAGAGAAUAUCAAGAAAAAGGAAGACCUGACAUUUAUUCUACUUGCCAAGUGGGCUCUGUAUCUGCCCACAUGAUGAGUUAUUUUAAAAAUCAGAGAUGAUCUAUCAGAUUUUAAAAGAAGAUGGCCAAUCUGUGAGAAGAUGCUUUUUGAAGAAAUGCAUGCUAUGAAAAGAAUAAUUUGAAAGUGAAUAUUUGGAAACAUUUUCAAGUUUAUGUGUUCUUUUUUUUAAUUUAAAAAUUCUGUGUGUCACAUAUAAAAACUCUCAUAUUAUUACACUUAAACUAUCAAAAAUCUGUAAACGGGCCAGGCGUGGUGUCUCACGCCGGUAGUCCCAGCACUUUGGGAGGCCGAGGCAGGUAGAUUGUGAGGACAGGAGAUCGAGACCAUCU
rnacentral:lncRNA from 10 species